rnacentral:rRNA from 1 species
UACGUAGGGGGCUAGCGUUGUCCGGAAUCACUGGGCGUAAAGCGCGCGCAGGCGGCGAUCUACGUCUGGGGUGAAAGCCCGGAGCUCAACUCCGGGACUGCCUUGGAUACGGGAUCGCUUGAGGAUUGGAGAGGCAAGGGGAAUUCCACGUGUAGCGGUGAAAUGCGUAGAUAUGUGGAGGAACACCUGUGGCGAAGGCGCCUUGCUGGCCAAUUUCUGACGCUGAGGCGCGAAAGCGUGGGGAGCAAACAGG